UCGAGCGGCAGCGCGGGGGCAACCCUGGCGGCGAGCGGCGAACGGGUGAGUAAUGUAUCGGAACGUACCCAGUCGUGGGGGAUAACUAUCCGAAAGGAUAGCUAAUACCGCAUACGUCCUGAGGGAGAAAGCGGGGGACCGAAAGGCCUCGCGCGAUUGGAGCGGCCGAUAUCGGAUUAGCUAGUUGGUGAGGUAAAGGCUCACCAAGGCGACGAUCCGUAGCUGGUCUGAGAGGACGACCAGCCACACUGGAACUGAGACACGGUCCAGACUCCUACGGGAGGCAGCAGUGGGGAAUUUUGGACAAUGGGGGCAACCCUGAUCCAGCCAUUCCGCGUGAGUGAAGAAGGCCUUCGGGUUGUAAAGCUCUUUCAGCAGGAACGAAACGGUGGUCCUUAAUACGGGCUGCUAAUGACGGUACCUGAAGAAGAAGCACCGGCUAACUACGUGCCAGCAGCCGCGGUAAUACGUAGGGUGCGAGCGUUAAUCGGAAUUACUGGGCGUAAAGCGUGCGCAGGCGGUUCUAUAAGACAGAUGUGAAAUCCCCGGGCUUAACCUGGGAACUGCGUUUGUGACUGUAGGACUCGAGUGUGGCAGAGGGGGGUGGAAUUCCACGUGUAGCAGUGAAAUGCGUAGAGAUGUGGAGGAACACCGAUGGCGAAGGCAGCCCCCUGGGUCAACACUGACGCUCAUGCACGAAAGCGUGGGGAGCAAACAGGAUUAGAUACCCUGGUAGUCCACGCCCUAAACGAUGUCAACUAGUUGUCGGAGGGGGAGACCUCUUUGGUAACG
rnacentral:rRNA from 1 species